rnacentral:rRNA from 1 species
CGCGUAGGCGGGCCACUCAGUCCGGGGUGAAAUCUUUCGGCUUAACCGGAAACGUGCCUUGGAGACGGGUGGUCUGGAGGGAGAUAGGGGCAGGUGGAACUUCCGGUGGAGCGGUGAAAUGCGUUGAUAUCGGAAGGAACGCCGGUGGCGAAAGCGACCUGCUGGAUCUCUACUGACGCUGAGGCGCGAAAGCCAGGGGAGCGAACG